AGAUCAAAAAGAUCAUGAGGAGGACCAGAAAUAUGAAGACAAGCAAAAUAAACUUCUUAUGAGCCAGGUGGCCUGUGACCUGGGCUGCCGGCUGAAGACGGAAGAAAAUGACGCAGAUGAGGAUGAAGACGUUCAUGUCGCAGAGGCUGAGAUAAUACAGGAGUCACGUGCCCCCAGGCUCAUCGGGGAGGUGCCAAAGGUUGAUAUCAGGAGAGUCCCUGAAGACUC